rnacentral:rRNA from 1 species
AGCGAACGCUGGCGGAAUGCUUAACACAUGCAAGUCGCACGGGGCGGUUCGGCCGUUAGUGGCGGACGGGUGAGUAACGCGUAGGAAUGUGUCCGAGGGUGGGGGAUAACGUUGGGAAACUGACGCUAAUACCGCAUAUCUCCUGAGGGAGAAAGCAGUGAUGCGCCCACGGAGCAGCCUGCGUACGAUUAGCUUGUUGGUGGGGUAAAAGGCUUACCAAGGCGACGAUCGUUAGCUGGUCUGAGAGGAUGAUCAGCCACACUGGAACUGAGACACGGUCCAGACUCCUACGGGAGGCAGCAGUGGGGAAUAUUGGACAAUGGGCGCAAGCCUGAUCCAGCAAUUCCGCGUGGGUGAAGAAGGUCUUCGGAUUGUAAAGCCCUUUCAUUGGGGACGAUGAUGACGGUACCCAAAGAAGAAGCCCCGGCUAACUUCGUG